GGAGGGCGCGAGCGUUAUUCGGAAUCAUUGGGCGUAAAGCGCGUGUAGGCGGCUGGGCAAGUCGGAUGUGAAAGCCCGGGGCUCAACCCCGGAAUUGCAUUCGAAACUGCUCAGCUAGAGUCUCGGAGAGGAGGGCGGAAUUCCCGGUGUAGAGGUGAAAUUCGUAGAUAUCGGGAGGAACACCAGUGGCGAAGGCGGCCCUCUGGACGAUGACUGACGCUGAGACGCGAAAGCGUGGGGAGCAAACAGGAUUAGAUACCCUGGUAGUCCACGCCGUAAACGUUGGGUGCUAGGUGUCGCGGGUAUUGACCCCCCUGCGGUGCCGUCGUUAACGCAUUUAGCACCCCGCCUGGGGAGUACGGUCGCAAGACUA
rnacentral:rRNA from 1 species